rnacentral:rRNA from 1 species
CCAGCAGCUGCGGUAAUUCCAGCUCCAGUAGCGUAUAUUAAUGUUGUUGCGGUUAAAAAGCUCGUAGUUGAAUCUCUGAUCGGGAUAACCUCCCCACCUUAGGGUGGCGGUAGAUGUUAACCUGAUCAUCCUCCUAUCGAUGGCGGUUCUUAAUCGGACUGACCGUACUAGGACUUUUACUUUGAGGAAAUUAGAGUGUUUCACGCAGGCGCAUGCCUUGAAUACAUUAGCAUGGAAUAAUAGUUUAGGACUUCGGUUCUAUUUUAUUGGUUCUGAACCGAAGUAAUGAUUAAUAGGGACAAUCGGGGGCAUUUGUACUCAGUUGUCAGAGGUGAAAUUCUUGGAUUAACUGGAGACAAACUACUGCGAAAGCAUUUGCCAAGGAUGUUUUCAUUGAUCAAGAACGAAAGU